rnacentral:rRNA from 1 species
GAAUUGUGAAUGAAAAGGUUGGAAGAUCUGGCCAAAGAAGGUGAUAGCCCUGUAGAGAGUCCCAUGGUUCGAUUCUGUAAGUAAAACGCAGCGUGUUUGAAUUAGGAUCGCUUCGUAGCGAGAAAGGGGGACCACCCUCUAAGCCCAAGUAUUCCUCAAUGACCGAUAGCGUACAAGUACCGUGAGGGAAAGGUGAAAAGAACCCUAGGAAAGGGAGUGCAAUAGAAAGAAAUCCGAUGCGAACAAUCAGUCGAAGGAAUU